rnacentral:lncRNA from 13 species
CUCACUCGGCGCGUGUGUCCCGGGGACCUCACUCACUCGGCGCGUGUGUCCCGGGGACCUCACUCACUCGGCGCGUGUGUUCCGGGACCUCACUCACUCGGCACGUGUGUUCCGGGAUCUCACUCAGCACAUGUGUUCCGGGACCUCACUCAGUGCGUGUGUUCCGGGACCUCACUCGCUCAGCAUCUGUGUUCCGGGACCUCACUCAGCGCGUGUGUUCCAGGGACCUCACUCGCUCGGCGCGUGUUCAGCACGUGUGUUCCGGGCUCACCUGUGCUGUAGCCUGGCGCUGUGCUUCUUUCUCAUGACUGAAGACUGUUUAUUGUGCGGAGAUCCCGUUUCAUGUAUCCGUUCAUCAGUUGAGGGACAUGGGUGUCCAUGUACAGGUUGCUGUGUGAACAUGAGUUUUCAGCUCUCCUGGGGAUAGACCUGCUCAUGGCGUGGCUGGGUCACGUGGUCAUUCUCACUUUUUGAGGAACUGCCAGCCUGUCUGCACAGCAGCUGCAGCAUUUUCAUUUCUGUGAGCACUGUCUGCAGGCUGCCGUUUUUCAGCAUCACACCACUGUGCUCAUGAUCGUCCAUCUUUUCUACCGUCACUGUUCUGCUGGGUGUGCAGUGGCAUCUCCUGGUGGCUGUGACUGCAGUUCCCUGCUGAGUAAUCAUGUCGAGUGUUCUUUCAUGUGCUUACUGGGAAUUUGUAGAUCUGCUUCAAAGCUGCACUUAUUCAAAUCCAUGGCACAGUUUUAAUUAUUUAAGAGACAGGUUCUCGCUCUGUUGCCCAGGCUGAGUGCAGUGGUGCGAUGACAGCUCACUGCAGCCUCCCACUCUUGGGCUCAAGGUAUCCCCUCACCUCCCACGCGGCGUCUCAAGUAGCUGGGACUCCAGGUGUGUGUCACAUGCUUGGCUAACUUUUAACAUUUUUACUCUGUAGAGACAGGGUCUUGCUAUGUCAUGGUCUGGUCUCAAACUGUUGGCCUCAAGCAGUCCUCCCGCCUUGGCCUCCCAAAGUGCUGGGAUUGCAGGUGUGAACCACCAUGCCCAGCAUGUUUUCUAACUACUGUUGAGGUUUAGGAGUUCUUUCUAUAUUCCGGAUGACAGACCCUUAUUAGACGGCGUGUAAUUUACAGAUGUUUCCUCUUGUUCCGUUCAUUGCCUUCACUUUUCGAUAGUGUCCUUUGAAGCACUUUUUUUAAAAUGACAGGUCUUGCUCCAUUGUCCAGGCUGGAGCUCCGUGGUGUGAUCGUGGCUCAUUGCAACCUCGGCCUCCUGGGCCCCAGUAAUCCUCCCACCCCCGCCUCUGGAAUAGCAGGAACUAUAGACUGGUUACCCUGGCUGUUUUUUUUUUAAGUUUUAUAAUUUUUGUGCUUCAGCCAUCAUAACUAGAAACCAUUUCCUAAUUAAGGUCACAAAAAUUUACCCUUAUUUUU